CAGUUUUAUACCAGUGUGACCUGAUAUGCUUCUUUUGUUGUUUUGCAGCUUGAUGAUUGGUGGCAAUUCUCACCUCUGAAUCCUCGUCUGCGGCCUUCUGAAGAGUCGAAACAACAAACGGUCAGAGUAGCUCCUCGAUUUGGGGGUGCAGGUCUGUCAGCCGAGCCUGCUUUUGUGUGAAUGGAAAGUAAACGGAUUGAUCAGCGCCAGGGGCGGCGAUGUUGAACUUGGGAUCGAAGACGUUGACGCCUGUGGCGUAGCGACACAGCCCUGGCAUUGUGAAGGCGUAGUGGCUCUCAUACUGGCCAGGUGCUAGCGAUGAUGAAGUCGCUAGUGUUCAUGGCGAUCAUGUCGGCAGUGAACUGGCAGGAGAAAUGGUACUUGUGAUCCAUUUCUCUCCACUUGACAUCCGAAUCGUCGUACUUUGUCUUCUCAAGAGCAUGUGCAAUUGUUCCCUGUUGGUUUUGAUGUCAGAUUUGUUUGGUGACAGAGGAACAACAUUUUUCAGGAUUUCAUCUCGAUAGCUCAUUUUCACCUGGGUGACCCCGAGUUUGCUCGACAAGAGGGAUGCUACUAGAUUGCCAUCGGUGUAAUUGCCGAUGACCAUGUCUGGCUUCCCCUCAAGUAUGUCAAGAAUCUUGACAGAAGAAUCCUGAAACCACCAUGAUAAAGGUAAGGGUAAAUGUCAAACCGGGAGACCCACUGGCGAAGAUCUUUCCCAUCAUCAGUCUUGAAUGGCACGCGGAGGAUGCUCGAGUGCUUCGUGUGCUCGACCGGUUCAAGCUCAACGUUGCACUUGGUUCCCUUUGCGUCCGGUAUGAGUCUUGUUAACUGCAAGAUGUUCGAGCAGCUGUCAAAAGCUUCCUCCUUGCAGCGUGAGGUCAUGGUAGUUUAAUGAAGGCGAUCGAAGCUUACCACAAGAAUCUUCGGGGUAACAUUCAGGCCCUGCCGCUUGAUUCUUU